AUGGGCCAGGAGACAGAGCACUCUGGGAAAGGAGAAGGAGAGGUGAGAGGUGCAGUGACUGCCAAUCAGCUGAAUCGCAGCAAGAGCCUUAAUAAGUACAGCGGGCUAUUUACCGAGCACCGGGAGCAGAGUGACGGAUGGGUCAUAAACGCAUACCUUUCGGAUCCAUCAUUUGGAGAUUUUCUUGUGAUCGCACGAGGGCUGCCUUUAUUUGCUCUCCCAAGAACUACGGGGCAUAAGUGUCAGGCCCGAGAUGAGAUCCACGGAAGGUACGGAUGGAGAUGGAGUGUGUUUGAAGGCUUCUUGUUUGUGUGUUUUCUAAAAGGGGAGAAAAGCGAAAUGCCGCCUUUGUGUGUGUUCGUCGCGCCUUGAGCGAAUCUCCUCUGGGCCUGUCAUGGAGUUCCUCCGGCAGAACACACAGUUGGUCCUGUGAGCUGCACUAUUGAUUUGAAAAUUACUGGCCUGCAUAGUCACACCAUCUGUUCUGUUUACUGCAAAUGCCAAGCAACAUUUCCAAACAGGGGAAGAGAAGCUCUCGUUCUUCACAUAUCUUACGAGUGAGCUUGUCUUGACAAACAAGCCAAGUGGACAAAGCAAACAUGCAUAUAUUGAGUGCUUUUGGGGGUGUUUGCUUUUAUAUUAAAUAUCUGUGGUGCCUAUUUUAAUGCAUAACAAUGCAAAAAGAGCUGUUUCUUAUGCUUGCCCUUGAUCUUUUUUUGUUGUUGUUGUUGUCAGCAUCUUGACCAACAUCAUGGGUUCGAUUCCCAAAGAAUGCAUAAGUUGCAUUGGAUAUAAACUUCUCUCAUAGGUGGAGAGUGAAGCAACUCCAGGAUAAGGCUAAAAGUAGCCUGAUGUUAGUGUAAUCUAUUAAAGUGUUACUCCAGCCCAAAAUGAAAAAUUUGUCAUCAAUCACUAACCCCUAUGUCGUUCCAAACCCGUAAAAGCUUUGUUUGUCUUCGGAACACAAUUUGAGAUAUUUUGUAUGAAAACUGGGAGGCUUGUGACUGUCCCAUUGACUGCCAAGUAAAUUACACUGUCAAGGUCCAGAAAAAUAUAAAAGACAUCAUCAGAAUAUUCCAUUUGCCAUCAGUGGUUCAAUCUGAUUUUUAUGAAGUGACGAGAAUACUUUUUGUAUGUGAAGAAAACAAAAAUAACGUCCUCUGUGUCUCUCCGCAUCACUGUAGCGCCAUUUUGGAGAACAUCCACUGAACACAAGCAG
ensembl:lncRNA